AGAUCCCUUGGCCCUUCCACCAUGUGAGUAUACAGAGAGAAGGUAUGAUCCAUGGAUCAGGAAACCAGCCUUCCCUAGACAUGGAAUCUGCUGGCACCUUGAUUUUGAACUUCCCAGACUCCAGAACUACUCCUGCCCCUGCCACGAGAACACACCCUUUCCAGUUUGCUGGAGAAAUAUAAGAGAAGUCCAGUGAAAGAGAGCUGAGUUUCCCCAAUGAUGCCAUCAAGAUGAACUAACUACAGUUAACCAGCCAGCUGAUAGCAGAUGCAUGAGUGAGCCCAGCUGAGAGCAGGUGAAACUGAAAUUGGCUGUAUCAUCUGAAACUUCAUCUGUGAAGUCCCUGGUGGUUUCCUAGAUGACUACACAGUUGAGUUGCCUCUGAUUGGAAAAGCAGUGUUUUGGUUUUUCAGUUUGUACAAGAGGAAGAAGACGCAUGAUAUGUGUUUGGCUCAUGUGCCUGAAUAUGGCUCCACAGGGAAGACUUGAUACAGCUGAAGCUAUUGCUUUUUAGAGACUUUUUAUUUUGAGCAGCUGCCUUAACAGCCUUCGUCUUGUUACAUCACAUGAGAUAUAUCUCUGGAAUAGGAAGAGAAAAAAGACAUGACUGAGCAAUAAUUUUUGACUAAAACUUAAAAUUACAAAACCAAAACCAGAGAUAGAUGUCCCUGAAGUUGUAUUUUUAUAGUAUGUGAGAACACAAUUUUCUUAUCCUAGUUUUAAGGCAUUCCUCUGGACCCAGGAUUUUUGUUUAGUUUCAUUCACAUAAUCAAACUCUUUUUUUUUUUUUUGCCAUAGACUAAUGCAUUUUGGUGUAAUGAUCUGAGCCCUUAUCCAGAAGGCAUCUAAGACUCAUGUACAAAAAUAGAUUUCAGGGCUAAACAUUCUAAAAGACAAUUGAGUGCUUCUUUUUUCUCCGGCCCCUAGAUGUAAAUGAAUAACCUCUGUUCACUAACUCUUAAUGUAAUAUAAGGGAUAAAUUAUGCUUGUUUAUUUAAUUGUGCUUAACCAGAGUACUAGGUUGGAGUCAAACCACAGAUAUAUUUGUGAGAUGUGACAAAAUGUAGCUUUUAGCCCGUAAUACCCAAGUCAUCUGGGAACAUAACUGAUGACAGUGUCAACACCUUUCAGGAAUUCUGGAGGUGCCUUUGAGUUUAGAAAUUCGUAGGUUCUCUAGAAGCAACAGUAGCAUACUAAAUUAACACAUAACAUUUCAAGCUACAUUUACAUAAUUGCAGUGGUUAUGAUUAAUACAAAUUAUAUUAACUGCCUGUUUUACUCCUUAUAGCUGAUUGGCUGAAUUUACCAGUGGGUUUGGUAUGUUCAACAAAUGAUCCAAAUUACCUUUUCAUUUCAGUUAAGAAACUAAUCAAAGCAAAUACACUUUGAUUUGUUGAGAGGCAGAGAUUCUCCCUAAGUGGCAAUGUCCUUGGCCUUCUAAGCUAAAACCUAAAUGGAACUAUAAUAUAUAUUUUGAUGCUUUAUCUCACUUGAGUUUUUUAUUCUUUAACUGAAGGGCAGCCAUGGACCAUAAAUACAUAGAAGAUAAAAAUAUAUUGAGCUUAGGAGUUUGGUCUGUUCAAUGGAUGAGAACUUUAUAUUUUCCCUUAUAAACACAAUUUUCAAAGAAUAGCCUGUAAUAGUCGUGAAAAUGGAAACCAAUACUGGGGAAAUGUGGACUGCAACUCUGAAAAGGUAUCAAAAUGCCCGAUAGUUCAACACAAGGGCUAAGCAAUAUUUCAGGGAUGUGGCCUGUCUUUGGUGGCUCGGUCACUCUAGUGAGAUGAAUUUGGAAAAGGAUAGGCAUACAGAAUCCCCCCUCUGGCAGGGUUUGCCUUUGGGGUCUGCUUAAAGCCAUGUUUGCUAGUAGAAAUCUUGAGUAACCAGAUAUGUUUUAUAAUGCUGUGUCAUAUUUAAAUUCUGAUGAGAUUGACAUCUUUAAAUAAGCUUGGACACAGAUUGGAUUUGUACAGGGAACUGGACUGAAGAAUAAUCGUAGGUCAGUAAUAGAUUUAGAUAUACUAUUUUUAUAUUGUAAGCAGUUACUUCUCAGGAUUAGUAUUCUAAUUCAUUUGAUUUAAUAUGUAAUAGGUAAUAUUAAAAAUAAAGAUUUUAUGCUUUGAAA
ensembl:lncRNA ASMER1 adipocyte associated metabolic related lncRNA 1